rnacentral:rRNA from 1 species
GACGAACGCUGGCGGCGUGCUUAACACAUGCAAGUCGAACGGAAAGGCCCUGCUUUUGUGGGGUGCUCGAGUGGCGAACGGGUGAGUAACACGUGAGUAACCUGCCCUUGACUUUGGGAUAACUUCAGGAAACUGGGGCUAAUACCGGAUAGGAGCUCCUGCUGCAUGGUGGGGGUUGGAAAGUUUCGGCGGUUGGGGAUGGACUCGCGGCUUAUCAGCUUGUUGGUGGGGUAGUGGCUUACCAAGGCUUUGACGGGUAGCCGGCCUGAGAGGGUGAACGGCCACAUUGGGACUGAGAUACGGACCAGACUGCUACGGGAGGCAGCAGUGGGGAAUAUUGCACAAUGGGCGGAAGCCUGAUGCAGCAACGCCGCGUGCGGGAUGACGGCCUUCGGGUUGUAAACCGCUUUCGCCUGUGACGAAGCGUGAGUGACGGUAAUGGGUAAAGAAGCACCGGCUAACUACGUG